UACGGAGGGGGCGAGCGUUAUUCGGAAUUAUUGGGCGUAAAGGGCGCGUAGGCGGCUUGACAAGUCAAAGGUGAAAUCCCUCGGCUCAACUGAGGAACUGCCUUUGAAACUGUCUGGCUUGAGGCCGGGAGGGGGUAGCGGAAUUCCCAGUGUAGCGGUGAAAUGCGUAGAUAUCAGGAGGAACACCGGUGGCGAAGGCGGGUCUCUGGGCCGUAACUGACGCUGAGGAGCGAAAGCAUGGGGAGCGAACAGG
rnacentral:rRNA from 1 species